UGUAACGACUCUCGACAACGGAUAUCUCGACUCUCACAUCGAUGAAAAACAUAGCAAAAUGCGAUACUUUGUGUGAAUUGGAGAAUCCCGUGAACCAUCAAGUCUUUGAAUGCAAGUGAAGCAUGAAGCUCUCCUAUCGAGUCCACAUCUGCUGGAUGUCACAC
rnacentral:rRNA from 1 species